rnacentral:rRNA from 1 species
GAUGAACGCUGGCGGCGUGCUUAACACAUGCAAGUCGAACGGAAAGACCCUGCUUUUGCUGGGUGCUCGUUUGCCGAACGGGUGAGUAACACGUGUGUAACCUGCCCUUAUCUUUGUGAGAACUUCAGGAGACUGGGGCUCAUACCCGAUAUGAUCUCCUGCUGCAUGUGGGGGGUUGGAAAGUGUCGGCGGUGGUGGAUGUUCUCGCGGCUUAUCAGCUUGAUGGGGGGGUAGUGGCUUACCAAGGCUUUGAAGGCUAGCCGGCCUGAGAGGGUGACCGGCCACAUUGGGCUUGAGCUAGGGCCCAGACUACUAAGGGAGGCAGAAGUGGGGAAUACUGCACAAUGGGAGGACGCCUGAUGCAGCAACGCCGUGUGCGGGAUGACGGCUGUCGGGUUGUAAACCGAUUUGGCCUGUGACGAAGCGUGAGUGACGGUAAUGGGUAACAAAGCACCGGCUAAAACCGUG